GUGUCAGCCGCCGCGGUAAUACGUAGGGGCCAAGCGUUGUCCGGAGUUACUGGGCGUAAAGGGUGCGCAGGCGGUGGGUUACGUCGUGUGUGAAAGCCCCCGGCUUAACCGGGGAGGGUCGCGCGAAACGGGCUCACUGGAGGCAAGGCGAGGUCGGUGGAAUUCCCGGUGUAGUGGUGAAAUGCGUAGAGAUCGGGAGGAACACCAGAGGCGAAGGCGGCCGACUGGACUUGACCUGACGCUGAGGCACGAAGGCGUGGGGAGCGAACGGGAUUAGAUACCCCGGUAGUCCACGCAGUAAACGAUGGAUACUAGGUGUGGCGGGAGUUGACCCCGGCCGUGCCGGAGCUAACGCAGUAAGUAUCCCGCCUGGGGAGUACGGCCGCAAGGCUAAAACUCAAAUGAAUUGGCGGGG
rnacentral:rRNA from 1 species